CCAUUAGACGUUCUGGGCCGCACGCGCGCUACACUGACCAGUGCAACAAGCAUCCGUCCUUGGCCGACAGGCUCGGGCAAUCUUUGAACGCUGGUCGUGAUGGGGAUAGACUUUUGCAAUUUUUGGUCUUCAACGAGGAAUUCCUAGUAAACGCAAGUCAUCAACUUGCAUUGAUUACGUCCCUGCCCUUUGUACACACCGCCCGUCGCACCUACCGAUUGAAUGGUCCGGUGAAGCCUCCGGAUUGGCGCGCACCUCGGUGCCGCCGAGAAGUUGGCUAAACCUUACCAUUUAGAGGAAGGUGAAGUCGUAACA
rnacentral:rRNA from 1 species